CGUAGGGUGCGAGCGUUAAUCGGAAUUACUGGGCGUAAAGCGUGCGCAGGCGGUUCGUUAAGUCAGAUGUGAAAGCCCCGAGCUCAACUUGGGAACUGCAUUUGAAACUGGCGGGCUGGAGUGUGGCAGAGGGGGGUGGAAUUCCACGUGUAGCAGUGAAAUGCGUAGAGAUGUGGAGGAACACCGAUGGCGAAGGCAGCCCCCUGGGCCAACACUGACGCUCAGGCACGAAAGCGUGGGGAGCAAACAGGAUUAGAUACCCUGGUAGUCCACGCCCUAAACGAUGUCAACUGGGUGUUGGGGAAGCGAUUCCUUGGUACCGUAGCUAACGCGUGAAGUUGACCGCCUGGGGAGUACGGCCGCAAGGUUA
rnacentral:rRNA from 1 species